AACGAACGCUGGCGGCAUGCCUAACACAUGCAAGUCGAACGAGACCUUCGGGUCUAGUGGCGCACGGGUGCGUAACGCGUGGGAACCUGCCUUUAGGUUCGGAAUAACUCGGAGAAAUUUGAGCUAAUACCGGAUGAUGUCUUCGGACCAAAGAUUUAUCGCCUUUAGAUGGGCCCGCGUUGGAUUAGCUAGUUGGUGGGGUAAAGGCCUACCAAGGCGACGAUCCAUAGCUGGUCUGAGAGGAUGAUCAGCCACACUGGGACUGAGACACGGCCCAGACUCCUACGGGAGGCAGCAGUGGGGAAUAUUGGACAAUGGGCGAAAGCCUGAUCCAGCAAUGCCGCGUGAGUGAUGAAGGCCUUAGGGUUGUAAAGCUCUUUUACCCGAGAUGAUAAUGACAGUAUCGGGAGAAUAAGCUCCGGCUAACUCCGU
rnacentral:rRNA from 1 species